UCUCCAGUGGCGCAGUUGGUUAGCGCAUGGUACUUAUAUGACAGUAACUAAUUGUGCUAGUUAGAGAUGCAAUGAUUGCAAGUAAUGCCGAGGUCGCGAGUUCGAUCCUCGCCUGGAGAA
rfam:Daphnia magna strain Xinb3 scaffold03133, whole genome shotgun sequence.